rnacentral:rRNA from 1 species
UACGUAGGGUCCGAGCGUUGUCCGGAAUUACUGGGCGUAAAGCGCGCGCAAGCGGCCCGCGAGGUGUCACGUGAAAGCCCCGGGCUCAACCCGGGAGGGUCGUGGCAAACCGGCGGGCUUGAGGCCGGUAGAGGUGGGUGGAACUCCUGGUGGAGUGGUGAAAUGCGUAGAGAUCAGGAAGAACACCCGUGGCGAAGGCGGCCCACUGGGCCGGUACUGACGCUGAGGCGCGAAGGCGUGGGGAGCGAACGGG